rnacentral:tRNA from 2 species
GCCGAGGUGGCGGAAUGGCAGACGCGCUGGAUUUAGGAUCCAGUGGGUGUAAACCCGUGGAGGUUCAAGUCCUCUCCUCGGCACCA